rnacentral:tRNA from 1 species
AUCGAGGUUUAGCGUAGUCUGGUAGCGCACUUCGUUCGGCACAAAGAGGCCGGAGGUUCAAAUCCUCUCUCCUCGAUACCA